GACGAACGCUGGCGGCGUGCUUAACACAUGCAAGUCGAACGGAAAGGCCUGCUUUCCCUUGUGGAUUGCGGGUACUCGAGUGGCGAACGGGUGAGUAACACGUGAGUGAUCUGCCCCCAACUUGGGUAUAAGCCUGGGAAACUGGGUCUAAUUCCCGAUAGGACUGCAGGGUGGUGCCUGUGGUGGAAAACGAUUUUCUAGUGGUUGGGGAUGAGCUCGCGGCCUAUCAGCUUGUUGGUGGGGUAAUGGCCUACCAAGGCGGCGACGGGUAGCCGGCCGGAGAGGGUGGACGGCCACAUUGAGACUGGGAUACGGCCCAGACUCCUACGGGAGGCAGCAGUGGGGAAGAUUGCACAAUAGGCGGAAGCCUGAUGCAGCGACGCCGCGUGGGGGAUGACGGCCUUCGGGGUGUAAACUCCUUUCGACCGCGAGGAAGCCACCUGGUUGGAAGGGUGGUGACGGUAGUGGUAGAAGAAGCACCGGCUAACUACGUG
rnacentral:rRNA from 1 species